rnacentral:rRNA from 1 species
AUACGGAGGGUGCAAACGUUGCGCGGAAUCAUUGGGCGUAAAGCACACGUAGGCGGCCAAGUAAGUUGGAUGUGAAGGCCCAGGGCUCAACCCUGGAAGUGCAUCCAAAACUGCAUGGCUUGAGUGCCGGAGGGGCUCAGAGAAUUCCCGGUGUAGAGGUGAAAUUCGUAGAUAUCGGGAGGAAUACCAGUGGCGAAGGCGCUGGGCUGGACGGUAACUGACGCUGAGGUGUGAAAGCGUGGGGAGCAAACAGGAUUAGAAACCCCAGUAGUCC